UGGGGAAUAUUGGACAAUGGGGGGAACCCUGAUCCAGCCAUGCCGCGUGUGUGAAGAAGGCUUUAUGGUUGUAAAGCACUUUAAGCGAGGCGGCGGCUACUGGUAUUAAUACUACCAGCUACUGGACGUUACUCGCAGAAUAAGCACCGGCUACCUCUGUGCCAGCCGCCGCGGUAAUACAGAGGGUGCAAGCGUUAAUCGGAAUUACUGGGCGUAAAGCGCGCGUAGGUGGUUCGUUAAGUUGAAUGUGAAAGCCCCGGGCUCAACCUGGGAACUGCAUCGAAAACUGGCGGGCUAGAGUAGGGGAGAGGGUGGUGGAAGUUCCUGUGUAGCGGUGAAAUGCGUAGAUAUAGGAAGGAACACCAGUGGCGAAGGCGACAACCUGGGCUCAUACUGACACUGAGGUGCGAAAGCGUGGGGAGCAAACAGG
rnacentral:rRNA from 1 species